UGCCCAGCAACUCCUAUCCUCACCGCCGCGUGGCACCGGACGGGUUGCGAGCAACCUUAGGGAAGGUCGGGUAACCAACCCUGGUGAGAACUUUGGUCGCAGGCUGACAGGGAAGG
rnacentral:ribozyme from 1 species